rnacentral:rRNA from 1 species
UGGCUCAGAACGAACGCUGGCGGCAGGUCUUAGGCAUGCAAGUCGAACGGGUGUAGCAAUACAUCAGUGGCGCACGAGUGAGUAACGCGUAGGGAAGCUACCCAUCACGUGGGAAUAACGUUUGGAAACGAACGCUAAUACCGCAUACGACCCGGAAAGGGGAAAGAUUUAUCGGUGAUGGAUGUCGCCCGCGUUGGAUUAGCUUGUUGGUGGGGUAACGGCCUACCAAGGCGAUGAUCCAUAGCUGGUCUGAGAGGACGAUCAGCCACGCUGGGACUGAGACACGGCCCAGACUCCUACGGGAGGCAGCAGCUAAGAAUAUUGGACAAUGGGGGAAACCCUGAUCCAAGCCAUGCCGCGUGAAUGAAGAAGGCCUUCGGGUUGUAAAGUUCUUUUAGUAGUGAAGAUGAUGACAGUAGCUACAGAAAAAGCACCGGCUAACUUCGUGCCAGCCGCCGC